GAUGAACGCUGGCGGCGUGCCUAAUACAUGCAAGUCGAGCGAACAGACGAGGAGCUUGCUCCUUCGACGUUAGCGGCGGACGGGUGAGUAACACGUAGGUAACCUACCUAUAAGACUGGGAUAACUUCGGGAAACCGGAGCUAAUACCGGAUAAUAUUUCGAACCGCAUGGUUCGAUAGUGAAAGAUGGCUUUGCUAUCACUUAUAGAUGGACCUGCGCCGUAUUAGCUAGUUGGUAAGGUAACGGCUUACCAAGGCAACGAUACGUAGCCGACCUGAGAGGGUGGUCGGCCACCCUGGAACUGAGACACGGUCCAGACGCCUACGGGAGGCAGCAGUAGGGAAUCUGCCGCAAAGGGCGAAAGCCUGACGGAGCAACGCCGCGUGAGUGAUGAAGGUCUUCGGAUCGUAAAACUCUGUUAUUAGGGAAGAACAAACGUGUAAGUAACUGUGCACGUCUUGACGGUACCUAAUCAGAAAGCCACGGCUAACUACGUG
rnacentral:rRNA from 1 species